rnacentral:rRNA from 1 species
GAUGAACGCUGGCGGCGUGCUUAACACAUGCAAGUCGAACGAAGAUAUUUAGAAUGAGAGCUUCGGCAGGAUUUUUAUCUAUCUUAGUGGCGGACGGGUGAGUAACGUGUGGGCAACCUGCCCUGUACUGGGGAAUAAUCAUUGGAAACGAUGACUAAUACCGCAUGUGGUCCUCGGAAGGCAUCUUCUGAGGAAGAAAGGAUUUAUUCGGUACAGGAUGGGCCCGCAUCUGAUUAGCUAGUUGGUGAGAUAACAGCUCACCAAGGCGACGAUCAGUAGCCGACCUGAGAGGGUGAUCGGCCACAUUGGGACUGAGACACGGCCCAAACUCCUACGGGAGGCAGCAGUGGGGAAUAUUGCACAAUGGGCGAAAGCCUGAUGCAGCAACGCCGCGUGAAGGAUGAAGGGUUUCGACUCGUAAACUUCUAUCAAUAGGGAAGAAAGAAAUGACGGUAC